CGGGCUUGAAUUGCAGGAGAACAAUCCAGAGAUGGUGCGGCCCUUCGGGGCUCCUGUGAAGGUGCUGCAUGGUUGUCGUCAGCUCGUGCCGUGAGGUGUCGGCUUAAGUGCCAUAACGAGCGCAACCCCUUUCUUCAGUUGCCAUCAGGUGAUGCUGGGCACUCUGUAGAUACUGCCACCGUAAGGUGUGAGGAAGGUGGGGAUGACGUCAAAUCAGCACGGCCCUUACGUCCGGGGCUACACACGUGUUACAAUGGCCGGUACAGAGAGUCGGUGUCGUGCAAAUGACAUCCAAUCCUUAAAUCCGGUCUCAGUUCGGACUGGGGUCUGCAACCCGACCCCACGAAGCUGGAUUCGCUAGUAAUCGCGCAUCAGCCAUGGCGCGGUGAAUACGUUCCCGGGCC
rnacentral:rRNA from 1 species